rnacentral:rRNA from 1 species
UCGAACGAGAAAACGGGGGCAACCCUGUGAGUACAGUGGCAGACGGGUGAGUAACACGUGAACAACCUACCCUCGAGUGGGGAAUAACACCGCGAAAGCGGUGCUAAUACCGCAUAACAUCUUCGAGUCGCAUGGCUUGAAGAUCAAGAGCGCAAGUUGCUUGAGGAGGGGUUCGCGGCUGAUUAGCUAGUUGGUGAGGUAACGGCCCACCAAGGCCACGAUCAGUAGCCGGCCUGAGAGGGUGGACGGCCACACUGGAACUGAGACACGGUCCAGACUCCUACGGGAGGCAGCAGUGGGGAAUUUUGCGCAAUGGGCGAAAGCCUGACGCAGCAACGCCGCGUGGAGGAUGAAGGCCUUCGGGUCGUAAACUCCUGUCGAUGGGGACGAAAGCCUCGCAAGAGGUUUGACUGUACCCGUUGAGGAAGCCACGGCUAACUCCGUGCCAGCAGCCGCGGUAAUACGGAGGUGGCAAGCGUUGUUCGGAAUUACUGGGCGUAAAGGGCGCGUAGGCGGCUUUACAAGUCAGAUGUGAAAGCCCCGGGCUUAACCCGGGAAUUGCAUCUGAAACUGUUUUGCUUGAGUCCUGGAGGGGGUAGUGGAAUUCCCAGUGUAGCGGUGAAAUGUGUAGAUAUUGGGAGGAACACCUGCGGCGAAGGCGGCUACCUGGACAGUGACUGACGCUGAGGCGCGAAAGCUAGGGGAGCAAACGGGAUUAGAUACCCCGGUAGUCCUAGCUGUAAACGAUGGGCACUUGGUGUUGGGGGUAUUGAGUCCCUCUGUGCCGGAGCUAACGCGAUAGUGC